rnacentral:rRNA from 1 species
GAUGAACGCUGCGGCGUGCCUAAUCCAUGCCAGUCGAGCGAACAGACGAGGAGCUUGCUCCUCUGACGUUAGCGGCGGACGGGUGAGUAACACGUGGAUAACCUACCUAUAAGACUGGGAUAACUUCGGGAAACCGGAGCUAAUACCGGAUAAUAUAUUGAACCGCAUGGUUCAAUAGUGAAAGACGGUUUUGCUGUCACUUAUAGAUGGAUCCGCGCCGCAUUAGCUAGUUGGUAAGGUAACGGCUUACCAAGGCAACGAUGCGUAGCCGACCUGAGAGGGUGAUCGGCCACACUGGAACUGAGACACGGUCCAGACUCCUACGGGAGGCAGCAGUAGGGAAUCUUCCGCAAUGGGCGAAAGCUUGACGGAGCAACGCCGCGUGAGUGAUGAAGGUCUUCGGAUCGUAAAACUCUGUUAUUAGGGAAGAACAAAUGUGUAAGUAACUAUGCACGUCUUGACGGUACCUAAUCAGAAAGCCACGGCUAACUACGUG